GACUUGGAGGCAAAGGAGAGCUGGACGAAUUGACAAGGAACAGGCGAGAUAAGGAAUUGAAAGGAGAAAAUUAGAAAUCGACUGAGGCCGGGAUGGGCGCCGCCAUGUUUAUUUGGGGCAAAGUUCUCUGAAACGUGAGAGUCCGUCAUCUUUGUUUGGGGCCCACUGGAGGAACAGCGCGCCCAUGUCCUUUAUUUUUUGGGAACGGGGCGAAGCUUCUGGCAACAAAUGGCCACAACUCGAUCAAAGGUGAAAGUGACGGUGAACCAGACCGAACAGUCAGUGGCUGCAUAAAGCAGGACGGCAUGGAUAUUACAUAUGGGGGUGAAAUACAAGUAAUCAAACUGUUGCCGUUAAACAAUGGGAAUGUGUCUCAGGAGCAGGUCGAGGAUAAUCAACAGUAGAUCCGCCACUGCCAUGGCCCCCAGGUAAAGUCUGAAACAUGGAGACAAUCCACAAUCUUUAUAAAGCAGGACGUAGUUCGUCACUACAUCAACUGUGAGGAAGGAAAACAUAUGAAAUAUAUAUCAGAUUGGAGGAAAAGUUACCAGUUUGAGUGAGG